AUGCCACCAUCAAUCUCGACCUCAGUAGCGACAGGCACCGUCGUUUCUCCCUCCUCCGUGCCAUCGUGCCCGAUCGAGAGCCCCUGGUGGCGCAGCCGCAGCAGCACGCCGUCGAGUAUGCCUGCCACCCGCGUCGCCGCGACGAGCUGGGGAAAGUGCCCAACGGACUCGACAAUCACCACAGCCACGUCUGUGCCUGCCUUCGUCAUCCUCCGUUCCAUGUACUCUACCACGACCGGGGGUGCGGCGAAGUCAUGA
rnacentral:rRNA from 1 species